rnacentral:sRNA from 1 species
CUUAAGGAUGAAAGUCGAACGGUACAUACUAAGUAGUAAUACGAAGUAUGUUUUCCGGCGGACGGGUGAAUAACGCGUGAGCAAUCUGCCCUUAAGAGGGGGAUAACACCGGGAAACCGGUGCUAAUACCGCGUAAGACCACGGUGUCUCAUGGCACAGGGGUAAAAGGAAAGCAAUUUCCGCUUAUGGAUGAGCUCGCGUCCCAUUAGCUAGUUGGUGAGGUAACGGCUCACCAAGGCUGCGAUGGGUAGCCGACCUGAGAGGGUGAUCGGCCACACUGGAACUGAGAUACGGUCCAGACUC